GGCCGGCAGCACGGCUCAAGCAGUACAGCAUGAGACUCUUAAUCAUGGGGUCGUGGGUUUGAGCCCCACGUCGGGCA